AGAGUUUGAUCCUGGCUCAGGACGAACGCUGGCGGCGUGCCUAAUACAUGCAAGUCGAGCGGACUUGAGGGAGCUUGCUCCCGAUAGUCAGCGGCGGACGGGUGAGUAACACGUGGGCAACCUGCCUGUAAGACUGGGAUAACUUCGGGAAACCGGAGCUAAUACCGGAUAAUCCUUUUCCUCUCAUGAGGGAAAGCUGAAAGACGGUUUCGGCUGUCACUUACAGAUGGGCCCGCGGCGCAUUAGCUAGUUGGUGAGGUAACGGCUCACCAAGGCGACGAUGCGUAGCCGACCUGAGAGGGUGAUCGGCCACACUGGGACUGAGACACGGCCCAGACUCCUACGGGAGGCAGCAGUAGGGAAUCUUCCGCAAUGGACGAAAGUCUGACGGAGCAACGCCGCGUGAGCGAAGAAGGCCUUCGGGUCGUAAAGCUCUGUUGUUAGGGAAGAACAAGUACCGGAGUAACUGCCGGUACCUUGACGGUACCUAACCAGAAAGCCACGGCUAACUACGUGCCAGCAGCCGCGGUAAUACGUAGGUGGCAAGCGUUGUCCGGAAUUAUUGGGCGUAAAGCGCGCGCAGGCGGUCUCUUAAGUCUGAUGUGAAAGCCCCCGGCUCAACCGGGGAGGGUCAUUGGAAACUGGGAGACUUGAGUGCAGAAGAGAAGAGCGGAAUUCCACGUGUAGCGGUGAAAUGCGUAGAGAUGUGGAGGAACACCAGUGGCGAAGGCGGCUCUUUGGUCUGUAACUGACGCUGAGGCGCGAAAGCGUGGGGAGCGAACAGGAUUAGAUACCCUGGUAGUCCACGCCGUAAACGAUGAGUGCUAAGUGUUAGAGGGUUUCCGCCCUUUAGUGCUGCAGCAAACGCAUUAAGCACUCCGCCUGGGGAGUACGGCCGCAAGGCUGAAACUCAAAGGAAUUGACGG
rnacentral:rRNA from 1 species